rnacentral:rRNA from 1 species
AUUGAACGCUGGCGGCAGGCCUAACACAUGCAAGUCGAGCGGAUGACGGGAGCUUGCUCCUUGAUUCAGCGGCGGACGGGUGAGUAAUGCCUAGGAAUCUGCCUGGUAGUGGGGGACAACGUUUCGAAAGGAACGCUAAUACCGCAUACGUCCUACGGGAGAAAGCAGGGGACCUUCGGGCCUUGCGCUAUCAGAUGAGCCUAGGUCGGAUUAGCUAGUUGGUGGGGUAAUGGCUCACCAAGGCGACGAUCCGUAACUGGUCUGAGAGGAUGUACAAUCACAAUUGAACUGAGACACGGGCCAAGCUCCGACGGGAGGCAGCAGUGGGGAAUAUUGGACAAUGGGCGAAAGCCUGAUCCAGCCAUGACGCGUGUGGGAAAAAAGUCUUCGGAUUGUAAAGCACUUUAAGUUGGGAGGAAGGGCAGUAAGCUAAUACCUUGCUGUUUUGACGUUACCGACAGAAUAAGCACCGGCUAACUCUGUGCCAGCCGCCGCAGUAACAC